GAAAGGAGGACCCUCCCCAAACAAACCUUCACCCCCUGGCUGCAAAUCCUUCCCAAGAACAAAUACGCUACAGCCGGUCUUCGCGCAAGGUCCCCAAAUGCGUCACUCUAUGCAACAUGUCCCUUCCCCUAGUAAAUCAUUCCCAUCAAAAAUCAGUGCAGGUAGAGACAGAAUCAAUACCUGCAGGGGCCACUGUAGCUACAGGAUAGGAGACAGGUCCCCCGCCACACUGGACACAGACCCUCCUUGAGCCCGCUCAUUAAACAGGGCAGGGGUGGGGCUGCCUGACUGGCCAAGCCCUGGCCUUGGGUUCUGGCUGACUUCUGCUCAGAGCGCCACCGGCCCUACACAGCCCACGGUACCCAGAGCCUGAACACUUUCCGGCCAUCUGCAACAUAAGCACUUAGGAACCAACCUGUGAGCCUACAGGCUUUUCCAGGGGUGCCAGGAGCACCAAGGAGCUGAAAUGAUGGGACCAGGAAAGGAGAACACUGCAGAGUCCAAAGAUCCUGCUGAGUGACUUCCAAGGAAUAUCAUAUCCAAGAUCCAUGCUGCGGAGGAAGAGACCACGUCACCAGGAUGAGAACGAGACUGGCCCCACCCUCGUUCCUUCUACAGUGUACCACUUCCUAAUAUAGACUGCAUCUUCGCACGCCCGGAAUGGAUAAAAAUGGAUAGCUAUCAUUUGAGGAUCAGCAAAACUAAAAGGACUUCCCAACUCACUGCGAAACUUUGUUAAGAACCUGGAAGAAGGGCUGGGGACAUGGCUCAGUGCAGAGCACCUGCCUAGCAUGUGGCAGGCCCUGGGUUCCAACUCCAGCACCACCAAAACCAAAACCAAAAGAACCUCUGGAGAGGAUUCUGGAAUAAGAUGCUGAUCUUCUGCAGAACCCUAUGAAGCAGAUUAUAACAAAGAAAAGGAUGUCCUCUUAAGACAGGCCUGAGGACUGGCCUAUAAAAGCAGGCCACAGACUGCACCGGGACCAAUCUGAUUAUCCAGACAGAUUCCUGCACAACCUGCACUAACGCCAUGACACUCAGGUGGCCCUUCAGCUGCUCAGGGCAGAGUGUUCUGCUCUGGAGCUAUUGGAACACACCUCUUAUCUCUUCAGCUGGAGUCCCUGGAGGCAGAAGGCUACUGGUCUCUCUGCCGGCACUGCCUGUGCCUGGAUCCCAGGAGGGGCUUCACUGGCGGCUCCUGAAUGGAGGGAGCAUGCUCUGAGGCCCCAGGAAACACACACAGAGCCACUCACCUCACAGACCUGUUUUUCUGGGCAUCUGCAAAUUGAGCUGUCAGGGCAUUUUUUCCAACUGAACAACACCAGGUAUUAUUUAUUUCAAAGGAAGCUCACAUUUAUAAAUAAAUAAAAUUGGAUCUUAAUA